rnacentral:rRNA from 1 species
GACGAACGCUGGCGGCGUGCCUAAUACAUGCAAGUAGAACGCACAGUAUAUACCGUAGCUUGCUACACCAUAGACUGUGAGUUGCGAACGGGUGAGUAACGCGUAGGUAACCUGCCUGGUAGCGGGGGAUAACUAUUGGAAACGAUAGCUAAUACCGCAUAAGAACAUUUACUGCAUGGUAGAUGUUUAAAAGGUGCAAAAGCAUCACUACCAGAUGGACCUGCGUUGUAUUAGCUAGUUGGUGAGGUAACGGCUCACCUAGGCGACGAUACAUAGCCGACCUGAGAGGGUGAUCGGCCACACUGGGACUGAGACACGGCCCAGACUCCUACGGGAGGCAGCAGUAGGGAAUCUUCGGCAAUGGACGAAAGUCUGACCGAGCAACGCCGCGUGAGUGAAGAAGGUUUUCGGAUCGUAAAGCUCUGUUGUAAGAGAAGAACGGGUGUGAGAGUGGAAAGUUCACACUGGACG